rnacentral:snRNA from 1 species
GGACGUGAGGACGAUCUGGCUGCGGCAUCUGUCACCCCAUUGAUCGCCAGGGUUGAUUCUGCUGAUCUGGCUGGCUAGGCGGGUGUCCCCUUCCUCCCUCACUGCUCCACGUGCCCCUCCCUCCCUCUGUCGAAGAGGACGGCCUUCCCUGAAUAGAGACUGUCAUUCAUUGUUGGAUAGGA